CGGUGGUGUGGGUGGGAUUCGCCGAUUCGCUGCCGUGCCGCGAGUCUUGUUUCUUCGACGACGGUGGUGCUUCUCUGAUUAGCACUGACUCUUUCUUCUUCUUAGAUCGGUGGUGGUGCUUCGUCGAGUCUUUCUUCUUCUCGGAUGGUGGUGGUGCUUCAUCGAUUAUCGCCGAGUCUCACUCUUUCAAUACGGUGCGCUGAUUCUUACUUUGCCGGAAGAAGAAAUAUAUGAUGGAUAGAGGACGAUACAGACAGGACGGGACGAGACGGGACGGGUUGGAACGAGACAGGAAGUGACGGGUCGGGACGGGACAGAUGAUGUCUUACUUGCCAAUCAACUACUUGCAAGACAAAAUCCGUCAUUCAUAAGUUACUGGCCUUCAAAUAUUUAGGUGAUGACUUUAACAUGUUUCACCAUAGCUUGUGAAUCCCAAUUGAUAAAUCUGAUGAGAUGGAGACGAGCAAAGGAUGAGAAGAAUGCCACUCGUCUUUGAACACUCUUUUCUUAUAAGCUUUCAUCGAGAGAGACAGGCUUGGUGCAUUGUAGCGGAUAUCAAAGAUGUGGAUCACAGGGUACAGGGUCUGCAGAACCAGAUGAAAUGUGUAAACCAUCAGGAGACCAAGACUAGUUAAUUAGGGCCGACUGCGACUCACUGCUUUAUUGCUUCCACCAAAAAGAAAAUAGUUCUGUCUGAGGCAAUCUUACAUCAUAUAACCGCAGUUUUCGGUCUAGCUCCCUGCAAACAUAACACAAGCAAAGGAAAGAAGAAUUUUGAGGCAAUUGCUUUCUUGGGGUAUAUAUAUCAAGAGUUUGUUUUACCUUGUGUGAACCAUGACAAGUUUAACAUCUCUCGAGUUUGGCAGUAUAUUUGUGCAUCUGUUGUCUAGUCCAUGUUUGAAUGUGACUUUUUCUUCUCGAGCAUCAAACCCAAAAAAUUGUAAGAUGAGCUCAAGCAGAAGAAAUUACCUUAUUCCACAUGGCAAACUGAAGGAGAGAGCGAGCAUCAAGUCCAAAGACUAACAUCAAGCCCAGUCUCUCUGCAAUUAUUUCCCAUCUGAAAAGAGUACAUUCAAAGCAAUUGUAAUAAUGGAAAUGAUCAUAAUUGGUAAGGCAAAUGUGUUUCCUCAA